rnacentral:rRNA from 1 species
AGAUUGAACGCUGGCGGCAUGCCUUACACAUGCAAGUCGAACGGCAGCACGGGAGCAAUCCUGGUGGCGAGUGGCGAACGGGUGAGUAAUACAUCGGAACGUGCCCAGUUGUGGGGGAUAGCCCGGCGAAAGCCGGAUUAAUACCGCAUACGACCUACGGGUGAAAGCGGGGGAUCGCAAGACCUCGCGCUAUUGGAGCGGCCGAUGUCGGAUUAGC